AAGAGGUCCUGCCUGCCCUGUGAUUUAAAUUUAACGGCCGCGGUAUCUUGACCGUGCAAAGGUAGCGUAAUCACUUGUCUUUUAAAUAAAGACCCGUAUGAAUGGCAAUACGAGGGCUUAACUGUCUCCUUCCCCCAGUCAAUGAAAUUGAUCUCCCCGUGCAGAAGCGGGGAUACUAACAUAAGACGAGAAGACCCUAUGGAGCUUUAGACGCAUUGACAGACCACGUAAAGCCUUCUUAAUUAAAAAAUAAAACCAACUGGCCCCCGUCACGAUGUCUUUGGUUGGGGCGACCUUGGGAAAAUAAAAAACACCCAAGCGGAAUGAAGACACCCUACCUUCAUAAAAAAGAGCCGCAGCUCACAAAAUCAGAAUCUCUGACCUAAAGAUCCGAUAUAAUCGAUCAACGGACCGAGUUACCCUAGGGAUAACAGCGCAAUCCCCUUUCAGAGCUCCUAUCGACAAGGGGGUUUACGACCUCGAUGUUGGAUCAGGACAUCCUAAUGGUGCAGCCGCUAUUAAGGGCUCGUUUGUUCAACGAUUAAAGUCCU
rnacentral:rRNA from 1 species